CCGGACAUCUUAGAUACAAAGUUAAUUGUGGAAAUAACAUUGGCUUUCACUUUUUGUCCGAAGAUAAAAAUUAUGUUCUCUGAUGACCUCAAACGGUUUAGCUUUGGUUUGAGGACAGAUACGGAGCAGACAUUU
rnacentral:snoRNA from 1 species